GGUUGGUACCAGUGCCGCGGUGUAUACAACUUACGGGUCACAACAGAUUUCUUUGUUCUUUCUCCACUCCCACUGCUUCCUUUGACUAAGUCAAA
rnacentral:Y_RNA from 1 species